UUAAAUUGAAGAGUUUGAUCAUGGCUCAGAUUGAACGCUGGCGGCAGGCCUAACACAUGCAAGUCGAACGGUAACAGGAAACAGCUUGCUGUUUCGCUGACGAGUGGCGGACGGGUGAGUAAUGUCUGGGAAACUGCCUGAUGGAGGGGGAUAACUACUGGAAACGGUAGCUAAUACCGCAUAACGUCG
rnacentral:rRNA from 1 species